rnacentral:rRNA from 1 species
CCGAACNUGAUUAUUUAGUGGAAGUAAAAGUCGUAACAAGGUUUCCGUAGGUGAACCUGCGGAAGGAUCANUAAAGUUCUCCUUUCAAGUNAUAAACAAAAACACAAUAUAUAAAAUACUUAUAUUGUAAAAUUAUGGCAAAUGCCAAAAAGAAACAAAAUAACAAUAAUAAAAAUGUUUAUUAUUGUAUCGCCUCCUAGGCAAAAAAGUAUAGUAUAAAGUGUUUGUGUGUGUUACACAUUACACAAAAAUUGACUUAUUUAUAUAAAAUUUGUAAAAACUGAAAUUGUGUGGACGUUAUACAAAAUUAAUUUGUAUAGAAAAUGUCUAAAAAUUUGAAAUACAUAAAAUUAUAGUUGUACUUGUAUAAAAUUGAAAAGUAAUUUUUUAUAUAAGUCAAUCAUUGUUCGUUUUUUAAGAACUUGAGACAUUCGCAACAAAAAUUUUAUGUUUUAGUUAUAAAAGAGAAGAAUAAUAAGCAAAAAUUAUUGAAGGAAUUGAUAUAUGCCAAUU